rnacentral:rRNA from 1 species
GACGAACGCUGGCGGCGCGCUUAACACAUGCAAGUCGAACGGAAAGGCCUGCUUUCCCUUGUGUAUUGCGGGUACUCGAGUGGCGAACGGGUGAGUAACACGUGAGUGAUCUUCCCCCAACUUGGUUAGAAGCCUGGGAAACUGGGUCUAAUUCCCUAUAGGACCGCAGGGUGGUGCCUGUGGUGGUAGACGAUUUUCUAGUGGUUGAGGGCGGGCUCGCGGCCUAUCUGCUUGUUGGUGGGGUAAUGGUCUACAGAAGCGAGUACGGGUAGCCGGCCUGAGAGGGUGGACGGGCACAUUGGGAACGAGAAACGGUCCAGAGUCCUACGGCAGGCGGCAGUGGGGAAGAUUGCACAAUGGGCGGAAGCAUGAUGCAGCGACGCGGCGUGGGGGAUGACGGCCUGCGGGUUGUAAACUCCUUUCGACAGCGAGGAAGCCACCUGGUUGGAAGGGUGGUGACGUUAGUGGUAGAAGAAGCACCGGCAAAUUCCGG